AGGACGAACGCUGGCGGCGUGCUUAACACAUGCAAGUCGAGCGGAAAGGCCCUUCGGGGUACUCGAGCGGCGAACGGGUGAGUAACACGUGAGCAACCUGCCCUUAGCUCUGGGAUAGCUCCGGGAAACCGGAAUUAAUACCGGAUAUUACACCGGCUGGCAUCGGCUGGUGUGGAAAGAUUUAUCGGCUAAGGAUGGACUCGCGGCCUAUCAGCUUGUUGGUGGGGUAGAAGCCUACCAAGGCGACG
rnacentral:rRNA from 1 species